CACGGUAGGGUGCAAGCGUUGUCCGGAAUUAUUGGGCGUAAAGAGCUCGUAGGUGGUUCGUCACGUCGGAUGUGAAACGUCUGGGGCUUAACCCCAGACCUGCAUUCGAUACGGGCGAGCUUGAGUAUGGUAGGGGAGUCUGGAAUUCCUGGUGUAGCGGUGGAAUGCGCAGAUAUCAGGAGGAACACCAAUGGCGAAGGCAGGACUCUGGGCCAUUACUGACACUGGAGGAGCGAAAGCGUGGGGAGCGAACAGG
rnacentral:rRNA from 1 species